GGACACAGCAGAGCGCCCCGACCGCCUGCGUCACCACCGCCAACAGCAACGGAGCUGCUGAUCUUGUGACUACAUAGGGUAUCGCAUUAGUUGAGUCGCUGGCGUCUGGCGCGUACUGCGACAGCGGGAAAUACGGGAUGUCCCAACAUCGGAACUCCGUGCUGCCGGCUGGAAAUGAGUACACGCUAUUACACCAUGAAACUACAGAAUACAACGCUGUUAUAGCAAAGUACUGAAAAGUAAUCGGAUAUUAUGUUGACGGUUUUGCAAAUGCUGUGACAUCUUUGUUUCGUCAUCAGAAUUGCAAGUACCUUCUUACUAAUAAAAAUGUUAUACAGUAAAUAAGCUA